rnacentral:rRNA from 1 species
ACUCCUACGGGAGGCAGCAGUAGGGAAUUUUCCGCAAUGGACGAAAGUCUGACGGAGCAAUGCCGCGUGAGUGAUGAAGGUUUUCGAAUCGUAAAGCUCUGUUGUAAGGGAAGAAUAGCAAGGAUAGGAAAUGACUCCUUGUCUGACGGUACCUUACCAGAAAGCCACGGCUAACUACGUGCCAGCAGCCGCGGUAAUACGUAGGUGGCAAGCGUUAUCCGGAAUUAUUGGGCGUAAAGCGCAUGUAGGCGGCUUUUUAAGUCUGGUGUGAAACGCCUGUGGCUCAACCACAGAAUUGCAUUGGAUACUGGAAAGCUAGAAUCUUGGAGAGGUAAGUGGAAUUUCAUGUGUAGCGGUGGAAUGCGUAGAUAUAUGAACGGAACACCGAAUGGCGAAGGCAGCUUACUGGACAAGUACUUGACGCUGAGAUGCG